rnacentral:tRNA from 1 species
GGGGUCGUAGUUAAGAUUAACAUUUAAUUUGCAAUUAAAAAAUACUAUUAUUAUAGUCUACCUCA